ACGGGUGAGUAACACGUAGGCAACCUGCCCUCAAGCUUGGGACAACUACCGGAAACGGUAGCUAAUACCGAAUACUUGUUUUCUUCGCCUGAAGAGAACUGGAAAGACGGAGCAAUCUGUCACUUGGGGAUGGGCCUGCGGCGCAUUAGCUAGUUGGUGAGGUAACGGCUCACCAAGGCGACGAUGCGUAGCCGACCUGAGAGGGUGAUCGGCCACACUGGGACUGAGACACGGCCCAGACUCCUACGGGAGGCAGCAGUAGGGAAUCUUCCGCAAUGGGCGAAAGCCUGACGGAGCAAUGCCGCGUGAGUGAUGAAGGUUUUCGGAUCGUAAAGCUCUGUUGCCAGGGAAGAACGCUUGAGAGAGUAACUGCUCUUAAGGUGACGGUACCUGAGAAGAAAGCCCCGGCUAACUACGUGCCAGCAGCCGCGGUAAUACGUAGGGGGCAAGCGUUGUCCGGAAUUAUUGGGCGUAAAGCGCGCGCAGGCGGUCAUGUAAGUCUGGUGUUUAAUCCCGGGGCUCAACCCCGGAUCGCACUGGAAACUGCGUGACUUGAGUGCAGAAGAGGAGAGUGGAAUU
rnacentral:rRNA from 1 species